rnacentral:rRNA from 1 species
UGUCUCAUGAAACACAUAUGAGAUAAUUCCUGCCCAGUGACAAAUGUUCAACGGCCGCGGUAUCCUAACCGUGCAAAGGUAGCAUAAUCACUUGCCUAUUAAUUGUAGACUAGAAUGAACGGGCCAACGAAAUAAAAACUGUCUCAGUUAGACACCUAAAAAUUAUUUUUUAUCUGAAGAUAGAUAAAUCAACUCGAAGGACAAGAAGACCCUAUAGAGCUUUAUUUUAUAUAUGGAACUUACCACAUGAAAAUUCGGUUGGGGCGACCCCGGGAUCAUAUAUCACCCUUCAUAUAAAGAUAUAUUAAUCAAAUAAGUGACCCUCUAAAGAUCAUAAAACCAAGCUACCUUAGGGAUAACAGGCUAAUCCCACUCAAGAGUCCUUAUCAACAGUGGGGGUUGGCACCUCGAUGUUGGCUUAGGGUAUCUAUAUAACGCAAAAGUUAUAUAAAGAUGGUUUGUUCAACCAGUAAUACCCU